rnacentral:rRNA from 1 species
CCUACGGGGGGCAGCAGUGGGGAAUUUUGGACAAUGGACGCAAGUCUGAUCCAGCCAUUCCGCGUGCAGGAUGAAGGCCUUCGGGUUGUAAACUGCUUUUGGGAACAGCCCGGUACCGUCAGAAUAAGCACCGGCUAACUACGUGCCAGCAGCCGCGGUAAUACGUAGGGUGCAAGCGUUAAUCGGAAUUACUGGGCGUAAAGCGUGCGCAGGCGGUUAUGUAAGACAGAUGUGAAAUCCCCGGGCUCAACCUGGGAACUGCAUUUGUGACUGCAUAGCUAGAGUACGGUAGAGGGGGAUGGAAUUCCGCGUGUAGCAGUGAAAUGCGUAGAUAUGCGGAGGAACACCGAUGGCGAAGGCAAUCCCCUGGCCGUACUGACGCUCAUGCACGAAAGCGGGGGAGCAAACAGGAUUAGAUACCUUGUAGUC